rnacentral:rRNA from 1 species
UACAGAGGUCCCAAGCGUUGUUCGGAUUCAUUGGGCGUAAAGCGCGCGUAGGCGGACCUGCAAGUCGGGGGUGAAAGCCCGAGGCUCAACCUCGGAACUGCCUUCGAUACUGCGGGUCUCGAGUCCGGGAGAGGUGAGUGGAAUUCCUAGUGUAGAGGUGAAAUUCGUAGAUAUUAGGAAGAACACCAGUGGCGAAGGCGGCUCACUGGCCCGGUACUGACGCUGAGGCGCGAAAGCGUGGGGAGCAAACAGG